GGGACUCACUCGGAGCGCUGGGAUACAGGAUGUGGUCUCACGUACAUUACCGUCUCUCAGCUGCGGAUUUGCAACUGAUAGUGGCCGCUUCUCCGACGGAUUUAAGGAGGCUCUGGCCAGUCGUCGCGGUAGACCGUCUGACAGGGCUAACGCCCUCCAGGAAAGACCGGCCCUGGCGGAGGCACCGGCCGCACGGCCCGCUCUCACCGCUUCGCCUCCCGCAAGAAGUAGAACACUCAAACAGCAUCAAAGAACAACUCUGGAGCCUGUGCACGAAAUUAACGAGUCUUCCCCCUCCCACCCAAUACUUAUGUUCAUCAAAGUUAGCGGGACAGAAGUGCUGCAACUGACAGGGCUAACGCCCCCCAGGGAGGAUACACAGUCAGCCAUGUAAGAUGCUACAGAGAAGACUGACCUGAGCAUGAGGAGACCUUCUUGAAUGACCUCAUCGUCUUCUGAGGAACCUAAAAUCAGAGAGCUGGAGUCAGUACCGUGUACAUUGUACCAGAGUACCAUAUUUAAUUACUACUUCUCCAGUUUAACAGCUCAUUAGGAGGCCAAGAAUGCCAGGGCAUUGACUCUAUGAAGUGACCUAUAAACUUACUCUUUGAGACUUACCUAGCUCAUCAGAAUCACAAUGAGAUAACCAAGGUGCAAGAUAAAAAAUCAGCCAUUUCUUUUUGUUUUUCCCUAGCACCAGUAAAGACCCUUUCAUUGGUCUCUUAUGAAAACUAUGCAGUUGAUAACAACAGAGGGAAAAGACACAGAUUUGCAGAAUAUUUGAAGGUGUUUGUUUCCUUUAUCAAUAAUUAAUUGCAAUAGGUAACCUAAGAACUAGUGACUUGUCUUUACUAUGCUUAAAUUGUACAUAUUAAGCAAUCAAGUCAUACCUUGUGUAUGAUUAAGGGAAAAAGCCCAAUAAAAUAAUUGUACAGGAUUCUUUCAUGGUCUAAAUUGUAACUCAAUGCCAAUUUAUAAAUACCAAAAGAAAAAUGCUUUCAAUUAUGUCAGUGAUAAAGCUGCAUAGUAAUGGUAUUAAAUUCUAGGUCUCAAUCUGAACAAAACCAGUCCACCAUACAAAUACAGAUGUGUGACUCGACUGAAACUUCAUGGAAGGUGUACCUUUGGUCUAGUUGAGAAAGGCCUGGCUAAUUUCAUAGAAUGCUGAUAAAAAUAUAAUGCUGGCAGAAAGCAUGAAGAAAAAUACCUUGGUUUUGUAGUAAGUUUGUUACUUAUGCUGCCCAGUUUGUUUACCAAAUGAAAGAUGGAUAAGAGCAUGCACAAACUCACCUGCCACAAGCCUGUCCUCUUGUCACCCUCUACUGUCUUUCUGAAUAAUCUAUCUUAACUAAACCCCACCAAAAACGGUGGGGUUUUGAUAUAUGAUAUUUUGUUUAGAUAUAAGCCCAGAUCUCUACUCUUUCUGAGAAAUCUGAGUUUUGUCUUCUUUCCAAUUUAAAAGCACAUCUGGACAGUUAUCUUGCUCUCUUAUUAAAAAAAAAAAUUAGAUAUCCUACUAGGAGUGAGCAAAGUAAAAACAAGAAUGACCAAAGUCCAAUGAAAACCAAAUUUCUCUCUAACUUCUUUUCCCCUACAGUCAGUUAUCCUCAAUCCUUUCCAACAACAGAAAUCAGAAGACAGGGUAGCAGAAUCUUUCUUUUCAGUGCAACAACACUGGCAAGCUGAUUCAGUUCCUCUUCUUUUGUAGUAACUUAUUUUUCCACUGGAAUUGUGCGGACUUUUGCCACGUAUUAAACCUAGCUCUGCUUUUACACCUUCAAGCACUGAAGCCCAAUCUCUUGUAUCUGUUUCUUUGUUCUGCCAACCUGUGGCUAUGUGGCUUUUGUGUCUUUCAGAUUUACUUGCAUUAUUUAUGCAACAUAAUGAAAUAUGCAAGCAUAGAGUAAAGGAUCCGUUCUUGGCUUUGGCAUGUAGCCUGCUUCGGUUUAUGAAGGGAUUGAAAAUAAGUAUUUGGGGAGUGGUACACGAACUAAAAGCAGGGAAGUACAGUUCUUAAAAACUGUAGCAGAAAACAGCACAAGUUCAAGUAAUUUUUGUUUCCAGUACUGCCAUUUCACAACACAUUUGUAAGCAUCACAUGUUUUAGAGGGUCAAAAACAUAUAACAGAUUAUUAAGCAGAAAAAAGAUGUAAUUUUUUUAUAGUUAUUACAAAAAGCUUCCUGAUACGAUGCCCAAAACUUGAUUUAAAGGAUAUUAGUGUAGAAAAGCCUGGGCAUUUCAAUUCUACAAACUCAUUUAAACAGAUAAUUUAAACGAGAAACUAUUUUGGCAUGUAUUGUGCUGCAUCCUCCUGAAAGAGGUAAAUUCCAUUUAAAUGGAAUCAGGUUUGAGCUCUGAAAUGGCUCAUGGUGAACUCUCUCCUGUGCCUCCUUAUGCUGUACAAACCACAAAAAUAUCUUGGCAUUUUAGUUCUGAAACUAUCUCAGCAUUUACAUGAACUUUGUAACUGCAAAUAAGUGAAUAAAUGCUGCUUAGGAAUUUUGUACUAGAUAGCAAUGUGUUUUUAGAGAAAAAGUCCCUUCCUUUGAAAGCAACCCUUAUUAUAACUAGACAUUCAUACCAUGUGGAAGGAUUCUAUAACAGUAGGCACAAAAAUAAUGCAACAGAACACCAUAUGGAAAUAUUGCUGGAUAGGAAAUG